rnacentral:rRNA from 1 species
UACGUAGGGUGCAAGCGUUUAAUCGGAAUUACUGGGCGUAAAGCGUGCGCAGGCGGUUUUGUAAGUUUGUCGUGAAAUCCCCGGGCUCAACCUGGGAAUGGCGAUGAAGACUGCAAGGCUAGAAUCUGGCAGAGGGGGGUAGAAUUCCACGUGUGAGCAGUGAAAUGCGUAGAGAUGUGGAGGAACACCGAUGGCGAAGGCAGCCCCCUGGGUCAAGAUUGACGCUCAUGCACGAAAGCGUGGGGAGCAAACAGGAUUACGAA